AGCCCGGUAGUGUAGCGGUCAAUCAUGCGAGGUUCUGGACCUCGCGACGGCGGUUCGAAUCCGUCCUGGGCUA
rfam:Desulfuromonadales bacterium C00003107 5579_contig_77764.2, whole genome shotgun sequence.